rnacentral:rRNA from 1 species
GGCGGCGUGCCUAACACGUGCAAGUCGUACGAGAAAGUUGGCUUCGGCCGAUGAGUAAAGUGGCGCACGGGUGAGUAAUGCGUGGAUAAUCUGCCCUUUAGUUGGGAAUAACGUACCGAAAGGUGCGCUAAUACCUGAUAAUACUGCAUAACUACUGUUGUGUAGUCAAAGAAGGCCUCUGUUUACAAGCUUUUGCUGAAGGAUGAGUCCGCGUACCAUUAGCUGGUUGGUGGGGUAAUGGCCUACCAAGGCUACGAUGGUUAGCUGGUCUGAGAGGAUGAUCAGCCACACUGGAACUGAGACACGGUCCAGACUCCUACGGGAGGCAGCAGUGAGGAAUAUUGCGCAAUGGGGGCAACCCUGACGCAGCAACGCCGCGUGAGUGAGGAAGGUUUUCGGACCGUAAAGCUCUGUCGAGCGGGAAGAAAUGUAUCAUGGCUAAUAUCCAUGAUACUUGACGGUACCGCUAAAGGAAGCACCGGCUAACUCCGUG